rnacentral:lncRNA from 1 species
AAACGUGUCACUAUUCUUCUUCUUCAAAUAACCCACGCACUCAAGUCCAAUUCAGCCCAAAAUCUAUGGCGAGUUGCAUCAGUCUCUAACCCACGCGUCCUUCUAUCUCUCCUCCUGUUGUUGCUAACGGCUCCUGGUGCCAAGAUUCCUCCUCCUCCCUCUCGUUCAAUUUUUAGAGAAAAACACGCGAUUGGAAGGGUUUGGAAGACGAAAUGUUGGAUGAGUGUGAGUCGUUGGAUUGAUUUCACUCAAUCUAAGCCCCACAUUCAUCAAAGAUUGGUCUUCAAAAUAGAUUUUAUCCAAUUUUGUGAGGGAGGCGAAGAAAUGGAGAAAAAAGAAAAAAAAGGUUGGAAAGUUUUCCGUGAACAAAUGGUUUUUUCGGAGUUGUUUUUCUUGGACAAGGCCAUUGAAGUUUAAGAGAAGCAUAGACACAAUUUCUUCUUCUCAUUUUUCUAAAAUACGGAUUUGAGUUCUAAGAAGAUAAAAUUGAAGUUCAAGCUGGGUUUUACUGUCGUCUCACUGAUUUGUUGCUGAAUCUCGCUAGGAUUUGGAGUCCAGAAGUGUAUUGUCGAGCCUACAUUUGUUAUAAAAGGAAUUUGCAGCUUCAGGUUCAAUCUUCAUCUCUUUUGUUCUUGCAAUUCUGCUUCGUUUCAGUAUUAUUUUUUUUUGAGAUUCAGUCCAGGAUGAUUUGUUUGUGCUAUGAUCGAAUUUUUUGUGGACUAAGUUUGUUCUCAGUAAUGGUAUGUUUAUUCCAUCACUGUUAUUUUAUGUCGACUGGCCUACUUAAUAAUUUGUAAAGCUAUCCUGUUACGUCUGUUUAUUCUGUUAGCAUAAGCAUGCUCUAACUGGGAAUUUGAGACAUAGUUUUGCUUUGAUUCUGAACGCGAUAGUUUUGGUUUACUGUUUGAAUAAUCUUUCAUGAGAAGGAUGUCGGAGUUUUUUUUCAUUAGUCGAUUAGUUCAAGCAUGCUAGAGUUCAUCUUUUGCGCUAAAAGCGAUCUAGUGUUUGAAGCUACCCUCAUCCUUUUACUGUUAGCAACUUAUUAAAGCUCUAGUGUUUGAGGUUCUGAUGUUCAGAUUGUUGAAUCAAAAUCUUGUCCAUCUAAGUUUUGAAACAACUCUCUUGUUAACUGUCUAAGGAUUUAACAUUUUGCUUCAAGUUCAUUCAAAUGCGAGACCCUCUUCUGUUGCAACCUUUGAGUCAUAUGUGUUGCGUUGGUGAUGUUCUGCCCCGAGUUUAUAACGUGAUUUGAAGGAGUAUCCCAAGUUCAUUCAAAUGCAGGACCCUCUUCUGUUGCAACCUUUGAGUCAUAUGUGUUGCGUUUGUGAUGUUCUGCCCCGAGUUUAUAACGUGAUUUGAAGAAGUGUCAUGAUUUCCUUUGCUGAAACUUCACUCAUCUGUGUGUGCCAUCUCUAGUCUGCAUUUUUUUUUUAAAAAAAGAAGUGAAAAUAGAAACAUGUAUUGUUGGGCUGAAUCUGUUGAAGUUCCCUAUUGAUAAUAUUUGUUCUUUGUGGUUCACUAUGUUUGAGGGGAUUAAGUGAAUGCUCAUGUUUCCGGCAUGUUAAUUCCAUCACUGAUCUUUUUAGGCCAUUUUUACUUCAAUUAGUACUCCCUCCAUGCUCGAUUACUCCCUGAUAAAUAUAUGAUCAGUGAUUAGUUGGUUCAUUUCAUUCAAAAUUGGUUCGAUGUGUGUCUGGUUCUUAUGGUACUAUCGAGGUGAGGUCGUCUACUCUCAUUGUUAGGUUGCUUCUUAGCUAGCAACUUAUCUUGUUUCACCUUAAGAGGAUCCUGUGAGUUCAUUCGUGGUUAUAACUUGAUAGUUUGAAGAUAUUGAACUAAUUUGAAGCAUGAUUAGAACAAAUUGAUUUUAGUGUAUGUUCGUCUACUUCAUGAUUUCAGGAUUUUCGUUUGAUUCUGGGGCUUAGACGAAGGUGUGUUACUGAUUUUGCAUUGCUGAACGCCUCUCAUCUUCCCAUUCUCCCUUUACUCGGCUGAUGACACUUCUGUUUCUGUGGAUUGCAACUAGAUACUCAUUAAGCUACAUUGUGUUCAUG